GUCAUGGAUGGCUCGGUCUCCUGCUGCUGCAGCGUCCUCUCCUGUCCAAUCACAGCGCAGCAGCCACACAUCUCAUUAACUGAUCUGAUACCUUUAGUUACAGAUUACAUGCUGCAUCACACCUACACAGCAGGUUGUCUGUCCUGUUCCCGCGCUGGAUGCAAACGAGGCUCCAUGUGGUGACCUGCACUCCGGUUUUGCCGCCCUGAACAGUGUCUCGCAGUGUGUAGUGUAGCAGCAGUUGUGGUACCGACCAGCAGGGAGAGCGUCUGCAGCAUGGUGAUCUGAGCGUUGACCAGGUACGCCAGGAAGUAGAUGAAGGAGGAGACGCCGAGCCAGUAACCAAAACAAGUUCCUA